rnacentral:rRNA from 1 species
UGCCAGCCGCCGCGGUAACACGAACCGUGCGAACGUUAUUCGGAAUUAUUGGGCGUAAAGCGCGUGUAGGCGGUUCGUUAAGUCUGAUGUGAAAGCCCGGGGCUCAACCCCGGAAGUGCAUUGGAAACUGGCGAACUUGAGUACGGGAGAGGAUAGUGGAAUUCCGAGUGUAGAGGUGAAAUUCGUAGAUAUUCGGAAGAACACCAGUGGCGAAGGCGACUGUCUGGCACAUUUCUGACGCUGAGGUGCGAAAGCGUGGGGAGCAAACAGGAUUAGAUA